UCACCCAAAAGGUGUUUGCAUUCAUGCAGUAACUUUCUAACUGAUACUUACAUUAUACUGUAUCUUUUGAUUUUGAAUGUGUGCACAUGAAUUUUAGAUGGAAAUUUAUCGGCCUGGGCUUGGAAGAUAAUGGUGACUGCUACACAUGUUCCUUCGUUCCUCCGGAGCAAUAAAGAAGAUAUGGCAGCUGGGGCUUCAAUUGUAUCACCCACACUUAGUAUACACACAUGAAUAUAGUUACAAGUCAAAUCACAUAUUGUGCUCAUUUCACAAUGUAAUGUAGGACUAGUUAACUGUUAGUCAUUGUAACAUGUUUGACUGAGAUGAAGCUUCAUUGCACCUUUCAUUCUCUUUAUGUGCUCAUUUUAGUAAUAGUUACUAGGUUCUUGGGCUGUAGUUGUAACUGGAUGAAGCUUCAUUGUAACUAGAUUUGUAGUGGAG
rnacentral:lncRNA from 1 species